UACGAAGGGGGCUAGCGUUGCUCGGAAUCACUGGGCGUAAAGCGCACGUAGGCGGACUCUUAAGUCGGGGGUGAAAUCCUGGAGCUCAACUCCAGAACUGCCUUCGAUACUGGGAGUCUUCGAGUUCGGGAGAGGUGAGUGGAACUGCGAGUGUAGAGGUGAAAUUCGUAGAUAUUAGGAAGAACACCAGUGGCGAAGGCGGCUCACUGGCCCGGUACUGACGCUGAGGUGCGAAAGCGUGGGGAGCAAACAGG
rnacentral:rRNA from 1 species